GUCAGGAUGGCCGAUCGGUAAAAGACGCUGCGUUUAGGUCGCAGUCCACUUCUGUGUGCGUGGGAUCGAAUCCCACAUCUGACA